rnacentral:rRNA from 1 species
GUUUCCGGGGAAUUAUUGGGGCGUAAAGGGCUCGCAGGCGGUUUCUUAAGUCUGAUGUGAAAGCCCCCGGCUCAACCGGGGAGGGUCAUUGGAAACUGGGGAACUUGAGUGCAGAAGAGGAGAGUGGAAUUCCACGUGUAGCGGUGAAAUGCGUAGAGAUGUGGAGGAACACCAGUGGCGAAGGCGACUCUCUGGUCUGUAACUGACGCUGAGGAGCGAAAGCGUGGGGAGCGAACAGGAUUAGAUACCCUGGUAGUCCACGCCGUAAACGAUGAGUGCUAAGUGUUAGGGGGUUUCCGCCCCUUAGUGCUGCAGCUAACGCAUUAAGCACUCCGCCUGGGGAGUACGGUCGCAAGACUGAAACUCAAAGGAAUUGACGGGGGCCCGCACAAGCGGUGGAGCAUGUGGUUUAAUUCGAAGCAACGCGAAGAACCUUACCAGGUCUUGACAUCCUCUGACAAUCCUAGAGAUAGGACGUCCCCUUCGGGGGCAGAGUGACAGGUGGUGCAUGGUUGUCGUCAGCUCGUGUCGUGAGAUGUUGGGUUAAGUCCCGCAACGAGCGCAACCCUUGAUCUUAGUUGCCAGCAUUCAGUUGGGCACUCUAAGGUGACUGCCGGUGACAAACCGGAGGAAGGUGGGGAUGACGUCAAAUCAUCAUGCCCCCUUAACGACCUGGGCUACACACGUGCUACAAUGGGCAGAACAAAGGGGCAGCGAAACCGCGAGGUUAAAGCCAAUCCCAGCAAAUCUGGUUCUCAGUUCGGAUCCCCAGUCUGCAAACUCGA